rnacentral:rRNA from 1 species
GAAUAAGCGCGUAUGGUGGAUGCCUUGGCAGUAAGAGGCGAUGAAGGAUGUAGUAGCCUGCAAUAAGCUUCGGGAAGCUGGCAAACAAGCAAUGAUCCGGAGAUUUCCGAAUGGGGAAACCCAACCUUUAAUUAAGGUUAUUGUGUGCUGAAUUCAUAGGCACAUAAGGCGAACCUGGGGAACUGAAACAUCUAAGUACCCAGAGGAAAAGAAAUCAACCGAGAUUCCGUCAGUAGUGGCGAGCGAAAGCGGAACAGCCCAGUUACUAAAUCAUUAUUGGCUUUAGCAGAAUGUUCUGGAAAGUUCAGCUAUAGUGGGUGAUAGCCCCGUAUGUAAAAGGGCUAAUAAUGUGUGUAACGAUGAGUAGGUCGGGACACGUGAAAUCUUGACUGAAUAUGGGGGGACCAUCCUCCAAGGCUAAAUACUCCUUACUGACCGAUAGCGAACUAGUACCGUGAGGGAAAGGUGAAAAGAACCCCGGCAAGGGGAGUGAAAUAGAACCUGAAACCGUAUGCGUACAAGCAGUCAAAGCACUUCUUUGGAAGUGUGAUGGCGUACCUUUUGUAUAAUGGGUCAGCGACUUACUUGUUGUAGCAAGCUUAACCGUAUAGGGGAGGCGUAGGGAAACCGAGUCUGAAAUGGGCGUUUAGUUGCAACAAGUAGACCCGAAACCGGGCGAUCUAUCUAUGGCCAGGGUGAAGGUCAGGUAACACUGACUGGAGGCCCGAACCCACUACUGUUGAAAAAGUAGGGGAUGAGUUGUGGAUAGGAGUGAAAGGCUAAUCAAGCUCGGAGAUAGCUGGUUCUCCUCGAAAGCUAUUUAGGUAGCACCUCGUGUAUGACUCUUGGGGGUAGAGCACUGUUUCGGUUAGGGAGCCAUCCCGGCCUACCAAACCGAAGCAAACUCCGAAUACCAAGAAGUUUUAGCACGGGAGACACACUGCGGGUGAUAAGGUCCGUGGUGAAAAGGGAAACAGCCCAGACCGCCAGCUAAGGUCCCAAAAUCACAGUUAAGUGGAAAACGAUGUGGGAAGUCUCAGACAGUCAGGAGGUUGGCUUAGAAGCAGCCAUCCUUUAAAGAAAGCGUAAUAGCUCACUGAUCGAGUCGUCCUGCGCGAAAGAUUUAACGGGGCUUAAACUAUGUACCGAAGCUGCGGAGCUCUUUUUAGAGCUGGUAGAGGAGCGUUCUGUAAGCCUGCGAAGGUAAAUCGAGAGGUUUGCUGGAGGUAUCAGAAGUGCGAAUGCUGACAUGAGUAACGAUAAUGUGGGUGAAAAACCUACACGCCGAAAGUCCAAGGUUUCCUGCGCAACGUUAAUCGGCGCAGGGUGAGUCGGCCCCUAAGGCGAAGUAGAAAUGCAUAGUCGAUGGGAAACAGGUUAAUAUUCCUGUACUUUACAAUACUGCGAUGGGAGGACGGAGAAGGCUAGGUCAGCCACUCGAUGGUUGUAGUGGUUUAAGUGCGUAGGAAGAGUUCUUUGGCAAAUCCGGGAACUUAAUUCUGAGAUAUGAUGACGAAGCAUGACUCGUUCAUGCGAAGUGACUAAUGCCACGCUUCCAGGAAAAGUCUCUAAGCUUCAGGUAUUGUAGAACCGUACCCCAAACCGACACAGGUGGACAGGUAGAGAAUACUAAGGCGUUUGAGAGAACUUGGGUGAAGGAACUAGGCAAAAUGACACCGUAACUUCGGGAGAAGGUGUGCCCUUAGUAAGUGAAAG